UACGGGGGGAGCAAGCGUUGUUCGGAUUUACUGGGCGUAAAGGGCGCGUAGGCGGCCACCGCAAGUCGACUGUGAAAUCUCCGGGCUUAACCCGGAAAGGUCAGCCGAUACUGCGGGGCUAGAGUGCAGAAGGGGCAACUGGAAUUCUCGGUGUAGCGGUGAAAUGCGUAGAUAUCAGGAAGAACACCCGUGGCGAAAGCGGCUCUCUGGAACGGUACUGACGCUGAGACGCGAAAGCGUGGGGAGCAAACAGG
rnacentral:rRNA from 1 species